rnacentral:tRNA from 1 species
UGGGAUACAGCCGAGCGGUAAGGCAACGGACUUUGUCUCCGUUACUCCUAGAUUCGAAUUCUGUUCCCCAGCCA